CAACACGCUUCCGUAGGUGACCUGCGGAGGAUCAUUACAGUAUUCUUUUUGCCAGCGCUUAAUUGCGCGGCGAAAAAACCUUACACACAGUGUUUUUUGUUAUUACAAGAACUUUUGCUUUGGUCUGGACUAGAAAUAGUUUGGGCCAGAGGUUUACUGAACUAAACUUCAAUAUUUAUAUUGAAUUGUUAUUUAUUUAAUUGUCAAUUUGUUGAUUAAAUUCAAAAAAUCUUCAAAACUUUCAACAACGGAUCUCUUGGUUCUCGCAUCGAUGAAGAACACA
rnacentral:misc_RNA from 1 species